AACAAUAUACGUGACAUGUCCUCUUUCAGAAAACCAGUAGUGAACAAGCUCCCUCCACUACUGAGGGUAUACAUCAGGAGGAGAAACACGAGCAACCUCCUCCUCUGUCAUACCCUCGCGCUUGAAGUCCGUCUUCAAUUUUGCUUUAUAUUCUUUUCAUUUGCGGUUGAGGGACUUUAGCACCCAAUCAUGGCUCUCUGGAGGGAGUACAAACUUACUGAUAGACAAUUUAAAAGACCACGCAAUAGCACGUAUCUGGUAGGAUAGUAAUUACGGGUAUCGAUCCACAGAGGUUGGGGUACAGUUGUUUUCUUAAAAAUAAAAAAUAUUUAAAAGAAAAAGUUUGUGAAGAAAAUUAAACUAAGAAAUUUAAUAAAAAAUACAAUUAAAAUGUUAUCAGUUUGAGGAAAUCUAGGACAAGGAAUUCACCACUAACAUCGGAACAAGGAUUAAUUGUAUUUUAAUUUAUUCUUGGAUUAACAUGCAAAAUGGCUACAAGCCAAAUAAGCAUUUAAAUAAAAAUCUCACAAAAGUAAUUUAAGAACAUCCAUCUUCGGUUGGCAUGAAAUGUCUACCCUAAACUAAUGUGGCAAGAUACUGCAUCUUCCCUAAGCAUGGGUAAUCUUCAAUUAACUUAGUGAUCAUGAAGAACAGUUGUAUAAACGUCAUAUUUAAAAUCACAGAAAUUAAAUAUGAGAUAAAAGAGGAUAUCCAUUAAAAACAAUAAGUUCAUACAACUCCAAAAAUAUAAAAUUAAAUACAUAAAAUCCGUGUCCCUUUAUUAGGGCUGCAUCCGGCCCUAGAGAGGAGAUCAGCCUUCCAUGGAGUCGUGGGCGACAGCAGCAGUGGCACAGCAGCGGGCUCCCAUUUCUUCUUUUCUUCCUCCCUUCACUGGAUCUCUCCUUCCUUCUCUAGCAAUUCAUUAUUUUUUCUUUUGAG
rnacentral:lncRNA from 1 species